rnacentral:rRNA from 1 species
AACCUCCGCAAUGUGAGAAAUCGCGACGGGGGGAUCCCAAGUGCCAUUCUUAACGGGAUGGCUUUUCAUUAGUGUAAAGAGCUUUUGGAAUAAGGGCUGGGCAAGACCGGUGCCAGCCGCCGCGGUAACACCGGCAGCUCUAGUGGUAGCAGUUUUUAUUGGGCCUAAAGCGUCCGUAGCCGGUUUAAUAAGUCUCUGGUGAAAUCCUGUAGCUUAACUGUGGGAAUUGCUGGAGAUACUAUUAGACUUGAGACCGGGAGAGGUUAGAGGUACUCCCAGGGUAGAGGUGAAAUUCUGUAAUCCUGGGAGGACCGCCUGUUGCGAAGGCGUCUAACUGGAACGGUUCUGACGGUGAGGGACGAAAGUUAGGGGCGCGAACCGGAUUAGAUACCCGGGUAGUCCUAACUGUAAACGAUGCGGACUUGGUGUUGGGGUGGCUUUGAGCUGCUCCAGUGCCGAAGGGAGGCUGUUAAGUCCGCCGCCUGGGAAGUACGGUCGCAAGACUGAAACUUAAAGGAAUU